GGGGCGGCCCCGCUCCGCCCCGCUUGGCUCCGCCCGCCCCCUGUGGGCCCAGGGCUCUUGCCCUGUCCCUAUCAGCACAACCCGAGCCGAACCGACGUGGCACGUCACGGUUUGGAUCAAAUGGGCUCGGUUCGGCUGGGUUCGGGCAGUGAGGUUCGGCUCAUCCCGACUUAGCCAGGUCCUAUUCGGAUCCGCUUGGGACUGCUCAGCCUGGCACAGCGCAGAGAAACCAAGAGGAGCAGGAAGAGGCCACGCACCAGCAGCCGUCCUGCCCGGGGAGGGGAGGAGCACCCCGCCGGCCUCAAAGAUGACAGCUCUGUAAGGACACAAUCCGGAUUGACUCCGGAGUGACCCCCCAGGAUCCCGAGCAGUGACCCGGCUCCCGACACGCAGCAGCCACAGGGCAGCUCUCCUCAGGGAGGGCGUUUCACCCCGAGGAGGAUGGGGCCUGCUCCCUCCGGCGUUGCCAUGGUAACGGAGCCUAUGGCUCUGCUGCGGGCAGGCCUCUCACCCCCCUCCCGGUGUCCCA